rnacentral:rRNA from 1 species
AUUGAACGCUGGCGGCAUGCUUUACACAUGCAAGUCGAACGGCAGCGCGGGCUUUGGCCUGGCGGCGAGUGGCGCACGGGGGAGUGAUGCAUAGGAACGUGCGCAGUAGUGGGGGAUAGAGCGGCGAGAGCCGGAUUAAUAUCGCAUACGCGAUGAGGGUGAAAGCGGGGGACAGAAAGGCCUCGCGCGAUUGGAGCGGGCGAUGUGGGUUUAGCUAGUUGGUGGGGUAAAGGCCUACCAAGGCGACGAUCCGUAGCUGGUCUGAGAGGGCGACCAGCCACACUGGGACUGAGACACGGCCCAGGCUCCUACGGGAGGGAGCAGUGGGGAAUUUUUGACAAUGGGGGCAAACCUGAUCCAGCCAUGCCGCGUGCGGGAAGAAGGCCUUCGGGUUUUAAACCGCUUUUUGUCGGGAAGAAAUCCUCUGGGCUAAUACCCCGGGGGGGUGACGGUACCGGAAGAAUAAGCACCGGCUAACUACGUG